UACGUAGGGUGCGAGCGUUGUCCGGAAUUAUUGGGCGUAAAGAGCUUGUAGGCGGUCUGUCGCGUCUGCUGUGAAAAUCCGGGGCUCAACCCCGGACCUGCAGUGGGUACGGGCAGACUAGAGUGUGGUAGGGGAGACUGGAAUUCCUGGUGUAGCGGUGAAAUGCGCAGAUAUCAGGAGGAACACCGAUGGCGAAGGCAGGUCUCUGGGCCAUAACUGACGCUGAGGCACGAAGGUCAGGGGAGCAAACGGG
rnacentral:rRNA from 1 species